CUACCUAAAGUUCUGUGAGAGUGAGAAUCGAAUGGACUCGCGGGAAGCGACCUGAGCCAGGAAAGGGUGGUCACUGUGGUAACCGUCCUCCACGGCCCUGGGCGCUUAAGAAUUGCCUGUUAAAUGGAGGAGUAGAUUAAUUUCUAGAAUACUUUCACACUCGCCAUCUGACUCCUCACGCACCACCGUGUCGUUCCCAUUUUGCAGCGGAGAAAGUCGAGGCUGCUCUCGAGGCUAAGUGGCUGCUCUACAUCAGCCAGCCAGAACGUCUAGGUCUUUAUUUGCAACGUCCGGUCGCCUGGGAGUCCCGCGUUCGGUUCUUUGGACAGCAGAGCCCAGACCCCGCUUCUGCCCCAGUCUGGCGGAGAAAGAGGACAAUUAAGUACACAAUUUACAACCAGUGCGAUGAAGAUGAGAUGACUGGGGCACAUAAUCAGUGUUUCCGCAAAAGUGAUAGAUGGUCCUGAAGAAUGAGAGAGCAUUAUGGCAAACUUAUUCUGGCGCUACUGUGACACUGAUGACAUCAUCCUGAUGGACCGAGAACAGGAAAUAAGAGAUGCCUUAGAUGACUUGGAAUUUGGAGCAGAUCAGCUGGGUGUUCUGGCCCAGGGUCUAGUGUGAGGUGCAGUCAAGAUGUCCCUUAGGGCCACAUCAUCUGAAGGCUUUGAUGGGGCUGGAGGAUCUCCCAAGAUGGUUCACUCAUCUGGCUCUUGGCAGGAAGUGGUUCCUCAUCAUGUGAACUUCUCCACAGGGCUGCCAGAGUGUCUUCCUCACUUGGUGGCUGGCCUCCCUCAAGUAAGUGAUCCAAGUGAGAGCAAGGUAGAAGUGCAACACCUUUAUGAGCCUGCCGUGGAAGUCUCAUGUUCUCAUUUCUGCAGCAUCCUAUUCGUUACACAGAUCAGCACUGUUCAGUGGGAGAAAGGGACUACACAGGACCAUGAAUACACUAAGGAAGAAUCAUUAGGGGUCAUCUUGGAGGCUGGCUAUCACAGGCCUGCUGUCUUGUGCAUCCUUGGAUUACCAAGAUGGAGAAGAUAAGAGAAGUCCCCCAAUCCAAACACAAAGUAUUAUUGAAAUGUAAAUUUGUGUUCAGCUUGAGAAGAAGGAAGAGGCAUCUUCAGUGCCAGGAGAAAGAGGCACAUCAUUGUAGCAAGUAAAGCCUUGAAAGCCUGUGAACGACAAUGAGUGAAUGAACUUUAGAGCCUGGAAUUUACAUCUGACCUCAUGCUGUCAUAGGAUAUAUCCAGUCUGUGGGUAGCAACUUAGGACACAGCAACCUUGACCUACAGGUCAUCAUGCUGAUCUACUAAAUGGAUGACAUCAUGCUGACAGGAACAGUUCAGAUUCCUCCCCAUAAAGAAAAAAGUUACAUGUCUUUUAAUGUUCCUAUUAAUUGGCUUGGGGCCCUAUUCAUCAUCCCAAGAAUGUCUUCCUUCCUAUAGUAGGUCUACAGCUUGGCUGUCCUAGGCCAGUCUUGGGUGCAGAAUAAGACCCUGGAAAACUUGUUUGCAGUAUAAGACUCUGGAAAGCUUGAGGAAUCUCCAGAAGCACCCUGUUUUUUUUUUUUUUUUUUGGCUGCUGGCUACAGAGCUCUAAUGUGUGGCCAGAGUCCACCAGGGGUGGGAAAAUCUGUUCUGGGGUGUGGAGUUCCCUUAGGAAGUGGGGGCUCUGCCACCAUCCAUCAGACUGAUACCACUUCUGUACCAUCAGUGGCUCUUGGAAGGAGAGAAAGUGGGAAAGUCCAGGAUCUGGCUCACCCUGGGCAUCUCCUUGAGGGGAAAGCCAAUUCUUCUCCAAUAGAGCCUCCAGAGACUCUGAUGUUUGGCUGGAACACAUUGGUGGCCUUGAAUUUGGGGGCACUUCUUUCCCUCCAUUCCAAAAUCCACUCUCAUUUCCUAUAUUAGAGGUGGGACAUCCACUGGGGAGAUGAGAGGAAACUAAGUUGGCUAAAUUCUUCUCUGUAGAUCAGUCUUUCCAAUUAGUUACAAAGGUGACAACCUCCCUUGAGAAAUCUUUUCUUGGAGGGCACCUUGUGGUAGAAAUGCACUACACUUCUAGCCUCAUCAUCCAAGGCUGAGGAUUUCUACAUUCAAGAUAGCUUUUCAGAGACCCUGGGUUGUGGAGAAGGCAUUUUCUCAUUGCCUCAUCUGGCAACCACUGCCUAUUCUCUGGGCCUCCCUUAUAUGGGUGAUAUCCUUAAUUCCCAUGGGUAAGUCCUCUGGUUCUCCUAGCUCCUCAGAUACACCCAGGACAUGUCAAUCCUCAGCUAGACCUCUGCACAUCAGCCAGAGUGAAAGCUGAAAUCCUCAGUAUGGUCUAUAAGGCCUUACCUGAUCCUCUUCUACUUCUGAGCCCCUCCUCUCCCCCUUGCUGGCAUUGUUCCAACCACUUGGCCCCUUACUCUCCAUGCUCCCACCUUAGGGCUUUUGCAUGUGCUGUUUUUUUCUGCAAGAAAUGUGGUGGCUGACCACAGGAUGGAUGAUGGUAGCUCCCACCCAGAAUGUAGUCAAUGAAGGGUGUGUCCACAGAUAAUUUAAAAACAGUAACACUGGGAUGCCUGCGUGGCUCAGCUGUUGAGCAUCUGCCUUUGGCUCAGGGCAUAAUCUCGGAGUUCCGGGAUGGAGUCCCAUAUCAGGCUCCCUGCAUGGAGCCUGCUUCUUUCCCUGCCUGUGUCUCUCCUCUCUCUCUGUCUUUCAUGAAUGAAUAAAUAAAACCUUUUAAAAAAAACCACACACACAGUACCACCAGUUAUAAGUCAGUCUGCCUUUUAUCAUCGUCAUGCUGGCAACUCUAAAUGAUGUCACAUAAAGUACUACCACCCCCCAAAAUCUGUAGAUCUAAGUUCUAAACAAAUGUUGUGGUUAUUGAUUGUUUUAAUGAUACAUAUAUGUGUUUCAAAUCAGCAUGUUUGUAUUACUUAUCUUCUAAUAAAUAGAAACACUGUGUUCUACAUGGAAGUUAAUUGAGAGAACUCCCAGUUACACCAUCACAAUAACAGCCAUCCUGCCCUGCCUGCUCCCUUCCAAGCUCAAGCCCACAAGCCUUCUUUGCAAGAGGAAUACCAUAACAGUUUGGAAUUGUUGGAGCUACAUUCAUGAGCAAUCUGUAUCUUCAGCCCCCCAUGAUAGUAUAUAUUUUUGGGUUUAAACAGAAGAUUCCAAAUAAACAAAGAUAGCUUAAUGAUUUUAUUUUUUAAAGAUUUUAUUUUUUAUUUAUUCAUGAGAGACACAGAGCGAGGAAGCGAGAGAGAGAGGCAGAGACACAGGCAGAGGGAGAUGCAGGCUCCAUGCAGGGAGCCCGACGUGGGACUCCAUCCCAAGCCUCCAGGAUCACGCCCCCGGGCUGCAGGCGGCGCUAAACCGCUGUGCCACCAGGGGCUGCCUUAGCUUAAUGAUUUUAAAGACCAACUGAACUUGAGUUAUUUCAUUUCUGUCGUCCUAUAUGUGACCACAUUUAUUUCCGUUUGAUAGAAUAAAACAGUAAGAGGGAGAAAGAACAGUGAGGUAUAACACUGUUUUUUUUUUUUUUUUUUAAGAUUUUAUUUAUUUAUUCAUGAGAGACACAGAAAGAGGCAGAGACAUAG